GGCGUGUGUAGCUUAAUUGGUAGAGCGCCUGUCUGUGGAACAGGUCUGUGCCGGUUCGAAUCCGGUCACUCGCCC
rnacentral:tRNA from 1 species